UACGAAGGGUGCAAGCGUUACUCGGAAUUACUGGGCGUAAAGCGUGCGUAGGCGGUGAGUUAAGUCUGAUGUGAAAUCCCCGGGCUCAACCUGGGAAUGGCAUUGGAUACUGGCUCGCUGGAGUGCGGUAGAGGGUGGUGGAAUUCCCGGUGUAGCAGUGAAAUGCGUAGAGAUCGGGAGGAACAUCUGUGGCGAAGGCGGCCACCUGGACCAGCACUGACACUGAGGCACGAAAGCGUGGGGAGCAAACAGG
rnacentral:rRNA from 1 species